rnacentral:rRNA from 1 species
GAUGAACGCUGGCGGCGUGCUUAAUACAUGCAAGUCGAACGAAGCACCUUGGACAGAAUCCUUCGGGAGGAAGACCAUUGUGACUGAGUGGCGGACGGGUGAGUAACGCGUGGGUAACCUGCCUUGUACAGGGGGAUAACAGUUGGAAACGACUGCUAAUACCGCAUAAGCGCACAGUACCGCAUGGUACGGUGUGAAAAACUCCGGUGGUACAAGAUGGACCCGCGUCUGAUUAGCUGGUUGGUGAGGUAACGGCCCACCAAGGCGACGAUCAGUAGCCGACUUGAGAGAGUGAUCGGCCACAUUGGGACUGAGACACGGCCCAAACUCCUACGGGAGGCAGCAGUAGGGAAUAUUGCACAAUGGGGGAAACCCUGAUGCAGCGACGCCGCGUGAAGGAAGAAGUAUUUCGGUAUGUAAACUUCUAUCAGCAAGGAAGAAAAUGACGGUACUUGACUAAGAAGCCCCGGCUAAAUACGUGCCAGCAGCCGCAGUAACAC